rnacentral:lncRNA from 1 species
UGGCAGUGGCCCUGGGGAUGCGGAGUUGCUGAGGUGCCAUGCCAGCAGUAGUCACUGAGAAACUGCCCUCUUGAGUGUCAGAGGGACGUCACUAAUGGAGAGAUGCCCACACAAGUCCCACUUGGAAUUUGUUACCGGAAAUGGCACAUUGGGAAACCUCCCUCUUGGUGUCAGGGAAUGUCCUGCACCACCAGCUGCCACACACUGCAGGAGCCUACUGAGAGCGAGCACAGGCUGGCCCAGGAUGAUGAACCCAUUCCUCUGCUAGGUUCCCGCCACACCACCAGCUGCCACACACUGCAGGAGCCUACUGAGAGUGAGCACAGGCUGGACCCAAGAGGAAGAACCCAUUCCUCUCCUAGGUUCCCACGAGUGCCUUCUGCCAACGAAGCUUAAUGGCAUGCCAACUGUCCAAGGAGAAAGGAUGAGAAGCCACAAGCAGGACAAUACAGGUUUCCUUGGAGCCAAGAGGCAAUAGAUUGGAAGAAAGAGAAGAGAAUGCCUGAUCUCACUUUUUACUUUCAAUAUAGAACAAAUCUACAUAGGAAGUUGUGGAAGCAGCGACGAGUGUGGUUUGAGGGUCUUCCUGCAAAGAACAGUAUCAUAGGACCAUGGAGGGAGAAGAACUGUGCCCUAGGAAUGGUACUUCACACAUCAUACCCAGAAGGCUAAACUGUUGCUAUAACAGGAGACUUGGGAAAGGACACGUGACCACAUCAUGCUCAAGCAUGUAGAAUUCCCUCUGAGCCUCAUUGAAUCACCGAAGGCCAAUCAACCUUAACACCAAUAGAGUACAGCACAAACCUCUGUAGAACAAUACGUCCCAGCUGCAAAGACUAUAAGCUCCAUGGAACAGAUAUCAAGCCUCGAGGCCAUAACACAAGGUGCAUGAAGGGACUCCUGACCAGGAAGAGCAAUGACCAGAACAGGAAGAUUCCUGGGUAGUGCCAUGUCUACUUGGAUCCAAUCCAAGGGAUCAUUAUUGUUUCUCAGUGUACAUUUUUUCAACACUUCCCUUGGAUAAUAGCCACUUGUUCAUGUAAUUGGGUCAUUAACCAACAGUAGUCCUCUCACAAAUAAUAAUGAAUAGCAAUGGCAAUGAAUGUACUGUUAACGGUAGUUGAAAACUUCAGAUAGAAAUUGAGUGUUGAUCAGUAGUUGACUGGGCUUGUAGUUCACAAAUCAUCUCCAAAUACUCCACUGAGGGAUAAUUUUAUGUAGCCAAGGGACUAAUAUUAAAACCUGAAUCAACUACUCGUAGCUACAGUUUACUCAAUUUUUCUCAGUUUAGAGAAAGAUUGGUCUCAAUAAGGUGAUGAGUUCUAGCCCCAUUUCUACCACUUGCAUUCUGUAUGACUUGGAAAUGUCACGCUUCCUUUUGUCUUAGAAACACAGUGUGUGUGUGCAUGACUUUCAGGAGAAACAAUCAGCAUCAGGAUCAUAUUUUGAACUUAUCUGGAGAAGUUUGAAGCAAAUUUAUUUGAGAUUUGGCAAUGUAGAGUCUUCUCUCAUGGACCCACCCACUCUCUUCCCUCCAGGGCAAUCAUGACUCACACCCAAAUUAUUUGUUCUUGGGAAUAUCUUUUUCUCUUGAUCCCUUUUAACUUCCUUUGAUCUACUUUAAUCAACUUAAUAUCCUUAACUGUUUUUUAUCUGGAGACAUUCAUUGCAUCUAUUUCUCCUGAUACAGACUUUUCCCUGUCUGCUGCUUUCAUUUCCUCACAUAUUCUGGACCAAAAUAAGAGGAUGUUGCAUGUGAGCUAAGAGGGGGAGCUAUGUUUCUCUGAGAAAUGAAUACUCUUAUCCAUGACGUUCUAAUGGGGUAUUUUUGGACUUUGAUAUUUUCUUGACUAAUCACUCACAAAUAGAUUUUCUCAUGAUUUUCUUUUUCUUUUAAGGGAAAACUGGAAUAGUCUUUUAUAUAUUAAGCUAACACUGGCCUAAUCUAUAAUAUAUCUAUAUUGAAAUGGAACUUUUUUUUAACUGAUAAAGUUAACUAGUUAACAUACUUUCGGUAUGGUUGUGCCCAAAAAAUAACGUGAUCUUAAUCGUCUAAGUACAGCAGAUGGUGAGCUUUACUCGCGAAUGAAUUUGUUCUGAUUAAAAAGAAACCAACCCUAUGUGCACGCAUCUAUCCAUUGUUUAGCAGCACAUUUUCUGCUCACAUCUGGAAAUAUUGAGAUAGUAGCUGCUCUAGAACAUUCCAGCGGCAGGGACACAGCACAGGAGGAAGACACGGGACGGAGAUACAGACUCAAUCAUGCUCUUCUAAAAUGAAAUUGAUUCAGCCACUUGAUGUUAAGAAAUUGCUUUUGUGAGUUACAAAAUUUCCUUCACUGGCCGCAGAAUGACUGACUAUGAAAGCUGUAGGUUUUUCAGGGCACACGGACUGAAGAAAGCCUUCCACUGCCUUGAGUGUGCAGAGAUUUCCUGUUUUGUUCCUUGCACCAAUCUUCUGACGAGCACUGUGAGCAACUGAGAUCUGCAGAUAUCCUUGCAGGGAGUUCUCUUUCGGGCUUACAUGGAGUUACUUAGACAUCUGGAAGGAGUAGGUGUCAAACCACAAAUAAAACUUUCCUUGACUCAUGGGGAGAAAGGUAGCGAUUUCCCCUUGACCUCAUUAACUGAAACUACCAGUGCCGCUGUUCCGGCGUCAAACUUCAUUCUUCAGAAUGCGCUUCUCCAUUUAAGGGCUUUACCUUUUGUAUUUGUUCAGUGUUUAACUCUGCAAAUUUAACCGAAGCCUUUCAGUGGCAUGUUUUCAUCUUAAACUAAUAAUAAGUAAGGGUCAUAGCUACAUAAUUUACUCUCCAUGGGACCUCACACAGGGACACUAACAGAUAAAUGCUUGAUGAUGCUGUUGAGGCUGAUUGAUACUAUUAGUUUUAUUUUCUUUCUCAUGGCAAACACAAAUGACUCCUCCAUCCAGCACUCUCUGUUCUUUUUAAUCUUUAUACUUUGACCAUAGAAGCAUGCAUUUGUCGUGUCAGGUAGGUAGUUGGAGUAAAAGUAAUUUGCCAUUGGCUCUCAAUUUAAAAUGAAUUCAUGAAAAAGGAGAGCUGCAAACUACUCAAUCUGACUGCAAAGUGGUAUUUUGUUUGUACACUUAACUCCCCAGAUAUAAGUGGAAGCAUCGUCCCUCCUGCAUUUAUUUCCCCCAUGACACUAAUUCUUUAUAGCAAAACAAAGAGUUUGUGAGUUCAUAGAGCAGGGCUUUCCUAUCUGUAGACAUCCAGUAACGUCCCUUUCCAUACUUCAUCCCAAAUUAAACAGAGUCUCCUUCCUGGUUUGCUCAUGUGCAUAUUGAAUUAGGAAACAAUCCUUCACUACCAGCCUCCCCAUCUUAAUGCAAUCCAGUCAGAGCUGAGAUAAUUAACAACACUCAUUGCUCUAACUUAGUUUUUGCAUUUUUUUCCUCCAUGCAAAUCUUCUUUCAUCUAGUUGUUCCUUAUUGGUUCAUUCCAUUAAGCAUGUGCAAAGUGGCUCCGGUAGUCAUAACACUGACCCAAGUCCCCGGGAAUAAAAAAAGAAAGAAAAACAAACAAAACUAGAAUCUCUGGGGAAGCACACAGGAGUGCAGGGGAGAAACAGAACACAUUUAUUUUAAAUACAUAGAUGCAGAAUUAAGCUAGUACAACACACCAUUAUAUAAAUAAUAUGCAUGAGUGCUAUAGGAAUGCAAAGUGAGAAAAUGUUUGCUAUGAGCCAUGUGUGAGCAAAGAGAGGUCACUUGGAGGAGAUGGCUCUUAUGCUGAAUUUCAGUGAAGAAUUAGUGAAGGAAAAAAAAAAACAGAAAAAUGUCGAAGUUUGGGAGAAUCCAAUGAGUAAAAGAACAUGGUUUGAAACAAGUAUAAUAUGAACGAUAGUAGGAAAGUUGGUCAUGCAGACAUUCGGAUAAUUAUUUCCUUCCUCUUUAUGCAGUAAGUUGCAUUUUUACAGAGCCUGAAGGCUCAACUUAAAAAAAUAUAUAUUCAGAGUCAAAUGUAUUUGCAUAUGUCUUAUUUCUUAAGAAUAGUGUUUUAUCUAAAGAUUGAUAAGAUGGUUUUUCUGACAUCUUAAAGAUUUUUUUAAUAGAAAACUUUACUGUAAGUUUGGUUUAUAAUGUGAAAUACAACUCCAUCUUCUUUGGAGUCUGAAUAUAGUCUCCCUCUCUUCAUUCACAAGUGAAUGAGAAAUGUGCUAACUUCUGCUCUUACAAAUCCCAUUUAGUGGGUGUUUCUAGUUAAACCACUUAACAACCUCAUUUAUUUUGUGGUGACCAUCAAGUACAGCAACAAUGCACACUAGUUCUUAAAUUAAGUAACCCUUAUUUGCAAAGUACAGAAGGUAUCAAGCAUGUAACCUCAUGACAUCACUCUUGUAUGAAUAGACUUGCUGCACUGCGUAAGUACACGUAUAGGACAAGUUAAAUAACUAAAUGCACUGUCGAAGCAUCGUGUUAUUGGCUAUCAAAUCAGUAAUACAGAAAGUCAGAAACCAAACUCGGAAGAAGCGAGACCUGCCUCCAAGGCAGAAAAUGGAGACAGAGAAGAACAUUUGGUCAAGAAGAGGACUGAGAAAUGCCUGUUUUUAGAGAAACAGAAGACAUGGGUCCACAAUGCACAGGAUUAGGGUCAGAAAAACAUGAGAAAGACUACCUGACUUUCUACAUUUUCAUUGACUACAUGGAAAUUAUGAUAUCACCUUUCCUUGCUUUGCAAAGGUUUUAUAAAAUUGUGGUAAUGAGCUCAUUCUGAAAAUGACCUCUCCUGAAUUCUCCACAGCACUGUGCAAAUUUUAAGUGCGUGUAGAAGAUAGAAAAAAAAAAAAGUUAUUCAAACCAGGGAGAAGAUUCAUUAAGGCUUUGAGUAUAGUUUUUCUUCUCCCUAACAGUGGAGUGUGGCAUAUUCAUAGGAAGAAACUGAGUAUAAAUUUCCUGGAGUCCUAAAAGCCAGAAUCUAAACAAAGAACUACGAAUGGAAGUGCCUUAUUUUACGAUUCUCUAUUCCUCCGCCUUCUGACUCUUGCCUUUUCAACAUUCCCAGCCCUCUGACAACUGAGAGAGAAGGGCUUCCAUGCUCAGAGACCAGGAGGGCCUUCAGGCUUCAGUGAAUGUCCCACUUUGUCCUUUUCUGACCUAUUUGAAAGUCAAGGGUUGUAUAUUCAAUUAGGACAUAACUGUUGAGCCACUAAAAUCCCACUGUACAUUCUCCACCUUCCUCUGCUUUGUAUCUUUUCAUAAUCAGCAGGGAAGAAAAGUAUGCUUCACUGCUACCAUGGGGUGCUCUCAACAAUAUUUUUUCUGAACAAAAUAAAAAUAUAUUAAUAGAUAAGCAAGAAAAUGGGGCCACCAUAAUGUUAAGUAAAGACAGUAUGAUCCCCAGUAAGAGAUUUGAGGAUAGCUCCUUGUCCCUUUCACUGUUCCAUCCUGAUAUCUCUGCCAUUUGUACCUGCUCUGUAUGGAUAUUGGCCUGGGUGUUUAAUCUGUCUCUUCAUCUUUGAAGUUUCAUCCACAAGAAGUUACUUUAUCAGUGAACUUAAAUUUCAACCUCUAAACAUGUUACAGAAUCAAAUUAAACUACAGAUAAUUUUGUUCUGAAAACUGAGUGUCAUCUGUAAUUGCAAUACUGAUAGGGGGAAAACACCCUAAUUUUAAGCCCUUUGUUAUGAAUCCAUAUCUUCUCUGUGAAAUCAGAGUGUCAGUCUUGCAUCUCGUGGAACCAAAUAAAAAAAAUGUAUCAUGCAGUUAGACAGGAUAUGACACUGACUCAAUAAGGCAUUGGGGUGUGUAAAAAAAUCACUGGUAAAGGGAAAAAGUAUGAAAGUAAUAUUGGCUGACAUUUUCUUGUUAUUAGUGUUCUUUUUAAUAUCUAGCAUUUUAUGCCACUUUAUUUUGCUUCAGAGUCUUAUGAUCAAUAACAUAUAAACAAAUCCCGGAUUAGGAACUCACAUUCUGUAUUUUAAAUGUCUGAUUUCUAAUUUGCUGAUCUACUUUCUCUGUUCUCUUCAUUUGAUUAUUUGCCUAAUUAUAUAGUUUAACCUAUAAGGCUUUUCUAAAUAAGACAUGUUAAAUACAGUUGUAUUGCUGUAAUGAAAACUUAGUUGCAAAAGGAUAGAGUUAGCUAAGUCUGUGCCAUAGUUUUGCGCAGAGUGCAGGGUCCUAUGUGUCACUUCAUUUCACAUUUGUGGUUGUUUAACAAAUAAUAAAAUUUGUUUUGCCAGUACAUUACAUUUUAGGAUUGCAAAAAUUAUCUGUUGGAAUUUUUACGUGAAAGCGAUUUUUAAUUUUUUGCUAUAUUGUGUUCAUCUUAGUUUCUUUAUUCCUAAAUACCUAACUUGGAAUCUUCAUAUUUUCUGUCCUCAAUAGUUUAACUUUUUAACACCUAAGUAUAUAGAUAAAUACAAAACUUUCAAAAGAUUUUAUCAAAAUGACUUUAUUUUGUUAUAAUAGUUGUUACAUGAAACUAUCCAUAAUUUUUCAAGAUAAAACAGUGACUUUCCUAAAUAUACAUGUAAAGUAGUCUUUACUCUUUCAGAAAUGACCCCUUUUACAGGAAUUUCUCCUUGAAAUGUAUAUAGUAAGUUUAGCAAUGUCUAAAUACUUUUAGUCCCAAAACAAGAUAUAGCCUUACAAAAUAUCUUAUGAUUUUUGUUAUGCAUAAUUUUACAAAUAUAUUUAAAAUGCUCUACAAAGCAGUGCUCUACUAUUUAUACUAUAAUCAAUAAAUG